UAACUGGCCCUUUUCAGGGCCAUAUUUCCCAGUUUUAUACAAUGAGG
rfam:Sarcophilus harrisii ctg7180001544420, whole genome shotgun sequence.